UAUAACGGCCCCUUUCCAUUCAAAUCUGAUUUGUGUGAGCUGGAGCAGGAACCGCAGAUUUCAAUGACGGUGGACGACUACGACGCCGCCACCGAUUCCGACUGCCAAUCGUCGUCCGCAUCGGCCGUCCCCCAAUUCGGAGAUUUCGCGAGGAACGGGAUGGUGAGGGUGGAAGUGGAUGAGGCCAAGUACGGCGAGGUUGAGAGGAUGUUUAGGGAUGGAAUGGGUCGGGCUCUCGCCCAGGAUGUUAAUGUGGUUGCCCUACACAAGCCUUCUUACUCCACCUUCGCGGGGCAUGCCAGGCUCGAAGCUUUCCGCCUCUACUCUAAUGCUGUCGCGGCGAUGCUAAUAUUGUGUAUGCUUGGUACGGCGGUGCGCGGGAUGAGAUCUUGGGGAUUAUCACUCAUGGAUUUGGGAGGUGUGCCGAUUUUGAAGACAGCGUUUCCAACGGCAUUGGGGUUUAUUUAUCUCCGGCGAAUUUUCCGGUUGAUUGGUGACUCACUCACAUUAUCUUAUCUCCCCUUUUAUUUCACAUUAACAAUUUCAAUUUCAAAAUUGGUGAUGUUUGGCAGCGCAAUGAGGGCGUAGGAAGAUGAAUAUGGAGUGAAGCACCUGCUGCUCUGCCGCGUGAUAUUGGGGAACACGGAGAAGAUCGCGGCAAUUCCAGCCAAGCUCCACACAUUUCGACUCCGGAGUCGACAAUCUCAUCCCACCUUUACAAUACACAAUUUGGGGUACUUAUAUGAAUUCACACGUUCUCCCAGACUUCAUCUUCAGCUUCACUGCCCCUUCUUUAACAGGCAAUUAUUAUCAUUACUAUUACUUUCUCUGUAAUUGGAUCAUUUCUUGCCUGCAUUAUCGUAUUAGUAUAACCACUUUCUGCAGUUUCUGCAACACAUAUAUUCCGCUAUUCACGGCGCUUAAAGUUUUAUGUGCUCAUGAACGUGCUUUCGCGGUUCCUCAAUCCUUCACCGAUCAUCUCGAUUAAGAAAUGUUACACCGAUUUUCGAGAGAGAAAGAUUAGUGAGCCUCAUCUGCUGACAAGAUUGAGGACUUUGGAUGGGUACCCGGUGUUACUUUCAUUGCGAAGAAUGUUCAUAUUUCGUCCGAGUUAAAUAAAGGAUUUUCUACACUUUCUUCAUUUUGGAUUUUGUGUUUCUAAUUCUUGUUUAGAUUUAUUUUUAUUUGAUUGUUGCAGAGAUUUGUUUGAUGUGUAAUUCUUCACUGCAUUAGUUUGGAAGGAGAAGGGGGCGGGGCGGGGUAGUUCAUUUGUUAUAAGUAGAGUGUAGACGAAUGUUUUGGACCUGAUAUAGUAUUUUAUUAUCGGCGAACCAACAUGUGUACAUUUCUCUUUAUUUUGGUCAUUAGUGAGACAAAUAGAAAUGGUUGGCCAAUA